UGCUUAUGUGUGAGAUGUGAAGGGGAAAUCCCAGGAUUUGGUGGAGAAGAAGCACAGUUCAAUUUGACGCCCGCCAGGUGUUCGACGAAAUGUUCAAAUUGGGUUUCGUCAUUGAUAUUGCGGAUUUGAGUAGCGUUUUGUAUUGGUGAGCUGGUUCGCUAUUUCUCUUCUUGGUUGAAUGGAUAGAUUAGUUGGAUGUUUUAAUUAUGUCGGUCCUCUUGACAGUAGCAUGUGUGUGUCAUGGCCAUAGGUAUAAUACUUAUUGAAAUGCACGAGUCACUCGCAGUGAUUUGGUCGAUGUCGUGUCUAUGUGUAUGGAUUGGUGUUAGUGGAGAAGAAAGUUAGGUGAGGAAAUCAUGGUGAAUACAAUCGUGUCUACAUGGUGGUUGUGUUUAUACCUAUAAUGAAUGUCUGUUUAUUUGUAUGAAGUCCAUAGAUCGCAAUUUCCAAGUAGAGCAUUGUACUACUAAAUCUUGGAGUUUCUCGCAGUAAAACUUAAUUCAGUUUGGGUAUGGAUAGUUAGAUAACCAGUUUAAGUCUAUUCAUCACCUUUUCUUUAGUAAAGUAAAUACUAGAUAAUUAAGAAAGAUUGGAUAAUAGAGUUGAUUGUUUGUAGUGUGGAGUGAAGUCCAUGGAACGUCGACCCUCAUUAAUCCACGGCAUGCCUAUGAUGUUUAAUUAUGCGUCAAGCAAGUUAAUCUAGUAAGAUGAUUUAGAGAACGAGUCAAAUAAUGUGUAGAAGCUACAUAUAAACUAAAACAGACUAGUUGCUGUUUUGGGCGCAUGUACUGUUUUUGCCGCGCCAUUUGUUUGAGGAACUAAAUUACGUUUUCUGUAGAAAUCUUAUAUAGGAAAGUUGUAGGCCAUUUCUUAUUCUUUCUUGUGUAAAAAUUUCAUGGUCAUAGGUCUAGUAGUUUAGAAGUUAUGAAUUUUCCAAGUCCAGUUUCAGAAUCUGUCCAAAUUCUAUACAGUUUUCGAAAAUUGGACUGUUUGGCUAAGCUAAACUGAGAAUCAGCCCUUAGUAAUUAUAGAAGAAUUAUAGUAAUUUUCUUAAGCUUUCCAACAAAUUUUGGAUCACCCUUUUUGGUGAUCUAUAAAUUAAGUUACAGCUGUUUGAGUUAGGAUCUCUGAAUCUGUCCCAAUUUGGACAGCGGAGCCUUUCUCAUGUUUUCUGACCUUGAUAUAUAUUGAAUUAACCUGGGACAUUUAUAAAUGAAUUGUAGAGAAUUAUAUUAGCUUCCUAAAAAGUCUAGGAUCACCUGAUUUGGAUGUCUGAAAUGAUUUGGAUGUCUGAAACUCCAGUUAUGAAUUUUUGAAGUAAGUAGUCGAAUUCUGUCCAAAUCUGGACAGAGUUUAUGAUUAGUUCUGUUUGACCUUUUUAAAGGUCGAAUCUUGUUGUGAUGAUAAUACCAAAGGUGUAGAGGACUUUAUAAGCUUUCCAUAAAGUCCUAGUUUACUAUUUUUAGAUGCAUAUUUUGUGAGUUAUGAAUAAAACAAUUAACCGCUAUGCUGCUGUCCAAAAUCAGCAGGCAUUAAAAUGAUUUGCUUGGAAUUUCUUUUGUGUAGGUAACUAGUAUGGUAGUUGCAUAUGGUUGUUCUUUUCUUUCUUAAUGCUUGCCUUAGACUUUAGCAUUUUAAGAAGGAAGUAAAUACUUUGGUUAGUGUAUUUGAGAUAGCGACUAUUUAGACCUUAUGUCAGUAACUCAUUAUAGAAUAAUUACGGCAAAAACUCUAGAAGUUUGUCACAGAAAAAAUACUUUCAUCUUCUGAAUGUUCCUAACAAGUACAAUUUCAUGAUCCACAUGUUACAAAUAUUCAGAAAAAUAUUUUUGCUCUGUGCUUGAUGUAAUUCCACACUGUAUUUUCCUUUUAUCUACUCAUGAUUAAUUGAAGUAUUAUUUCUUUUAAAAGAAUGUUUUGUGCUAAUUUAUUUUCAGAGCGUGUCUACUUCUUGAUUGGGUUGUUUCCUUUACUGAGGGUCUAGAGAACUUGGUUGCAUAUGCUAGAAUGCUAGAUGGUAUCCGUGCUCACUAAUAGUCCAAGGUUUUCUUAGGUAAAUUAGCUAUUGUUUUCCUUUAAAAACUUUGUCCUAAAAUGAUUCAAGACUGGUAUUUGGUUGGUUUAAUUUAUACCUUGUACAUUCUCUGUGAGGGGUACAACUAAGAACCUCCAGAAGAAUAGCGAACAAGUAAUUGGUCAUGCAUUAUGUUGUUAGUCAUUGUAUGCUCAGUUAACUACUCAUUUUCCACCUAUAGAAGAAAGUUCUUUAAUAGGAAGCUAACCCUCUUACUUUGUUGCGAGGCUUUGUCAAUAUUUGACAAGUUCAGUAAGUUAGGUGUUUUUAUUUUGGAGUCUGUAGGUACGUAAUGCUUAUGUACUGUUUUAGUUGACUAGUGAUAAAAGUUUUAACUGAUAUUAACAUUGACAAUACAUGGGCAAUAGAUGAGGCUAUCAUCAGUUCGAAUUCUUUCUGUCUUAGGACAUCCAACAUGAUAUACUGGGAAGAAAAAGAUUUUUACACCCUUGUGAAUUCCGCCACUUUUUACAUUCUCUGCAAAUUCUGCUAGAAGCAUUACUUUUGCACUCUCCGUCUUGUUUGCAGUUUGGUGUUUUCUUCUUUGGUAUGUAUACAAGACAGCCUCAAAUCAUCUCCUAACAAAAAAGGGGGUUAAUAUCAGGUGCAUCUUAGCAGAUAUGAAAUAUAGUACUAUAUAAGAGAGCCACAUGUUACAAGACAAUUGGGUUAUAGCUACAAGUUAGUUAUAUGUUCUGCCAGCUUCGUUAUAUGUUCUGACAUGAGUUACUUUUGUGUUAUGCAGAAAAACAAGAAUCGUGAGUGCAAUGGCAAAUGGAAGGUGAAGGCCCUUUUGAUUGACAACUUAGGAAAAGAUGGAAUGGAACUCAAAUUUUGGUGGUCGGUCAAGUGUGUAGAGUUGAAAUCAUAUAUACUUAGUUAGGCUCAAAUUUAGCGCAAACUGUUGGUGACCAUGUUUUUCGGUUAGUAUUUUAGUUUUUAAAUUGGAUUUAAAGUACACUUAUGUAUGAGUUAUUUAGCAAUGCUUAUUUAUGAGAUAUUGAAUGAUACUUAUCUACAUUAUAUUAACUAUAGUGUUAUUAAA